rnacentral:rRNA from 1 species
AUUGAACGCUGGCGGCAGGCUUAACACAUGCAAGUCGAGCGGGGGAAGGUAGCUUGCUACCGGACCUAGCGGCGGACGGGUGAGUAAUGCUUAGGAAUCUGCCUAUUAGUGGGGGACAACAUCUCGAAAGGGAUGCUAAUACCGCAUACGUCCUACGGGAGAAAGCAGGGGAUCUCCGGACCUUGCGCUAAUAGAUGAGCCUAAGUCGGAUUAGCUAGUUGGUGGGGUAAAGGCCUACCAAGGCGACGAUCUGUAGCGGGUCUGAGAGGAGGAGCGGCCACACUGGGACUGAGAAACGGCCCAGACUCCUACGGGGAGCAGCAGUGGGGAAUAUUGGACAAUGGGGGGAACCCUGAUCCAGCCAUGCCGCGUGUGUGAAGAAGGCCUUAUGGUUGUAAAGCACUUUAAGCGAGGAGGAGGCUACUCUAGUUAAUACCUAGGGAUAGUGGACGUUACUCGCAGAAUAAGCACCGGCUAACUCUGUGCCAGCCGCCGCCGUAA